rnacentral:rRNA from 1 species
CCUACGGGUGGCAGCAGUGAGGAAUAUUGGUCAAUGGGCGCGAGCCUGAACCAGCCAAGUCGCGUGAGGGAUGAAGGUUCUAUGGAUCGUAAACUUCUUUUAUAAGGGAAUAAAGUGUGGGACGUGUCCUAUUUUGUAUGUACCUUAUGAAUAAGGAUCGGCUAACUCCGUGCCAGCAGCCGCGGUAAUACGGAGGCUCCGAGCGUUAUCCGGAUUUAUUGGGUUUAAAGGGUGCGUAGGCGGCCUUUUACGUCAGCGGUGAAAGUCUGUGGCUCAACCAUAGAAUUGCCGUUGAAACUGGGAGUCAUGAGUAUGUUUGAGGCAGGCGGAAUGCGUGGUGUAGCGGUGAAAUGCUUAGAUAUCACGCAGAACCCCGAUUGCGAAGGCAGCCUGCCAAGCCAUGACUGACGCUGAUGCACGAAAGCGUGGGGAUCAAACAGGAUUAGAUACCCUUGUAGUC